UGUGUGAAGUUCCUGUUUUUAUAACAUGACAAUGGAUAUUGUGUCCACACUGACUUUUAUCAUGUUUGCUCUAACAGAACUCUGUUGGUGUCAAACACUGACCGAGUCUGAAGCGGCGGUCAUUAAACCUGGAGGAUCUCACAGACUUACCUGUACAGUCUCUGGAUUCAGUGGUGAUCCAUAUUUGGCUUGGAUCAGACAGACUGCAGGAGGAGGUCUGGAGUGGCUGGCGUACAUCUCAGGUGGUGGUACUGCAUACUACUCUCAGUCGGUUCAGGGACGGUUCACCAUCUCCAGAGACAACAGCAAGAAACAGAUGUAUCUGCAGAUGAAUAAUAUGAAGAUUGAAGACACUGCUGUAUAUUAUUGUGCAAGAGUGUCACAGUGA